rnacentral:rRNA from 1 species
GACGAACGCUGGCGGCGUGCUUAACACAUGCAAGUCGAACGAAGUGGCGAACGGGUGAGUAACGCGUCAUCAACCUGCCCUUCAGAGGGGGACAACCGUUGGAAACGACUGCUAAUACCGCAUACUGAAGGAGGGGAUUGCGUCUGAUUAGGUAGUUGGAGGGGUAACGGGCCAACAAGGCGAUGAUCAGUAGCCGGGCUGAGAGAAUGAACGGCCACAUUGGGACUGAGACACGGCACAGACUCCUACGGGAGGCAGCAGUGGGGAAUCGUCCGCAAUGGACGAAAGUCUGACGGAGCAACUCCGCGUGAGUGAUGACGGCCUUCGGGUUGUAAAGCGCUGUUAAUCGGGACGCGGUACCGGAAUAGAAAGCAACGGCUAACUCCGUGCCAGCCGCCGCGGUAAUAC